rnacentral:rRNA from 1 species
AGAGAUGUGUGAUGACGCAUAUCAAUAAGCGGAGGAAAAGAAACUAACAAGGAUUCCCUUAGUAACGGCGAGUGAAGCGGGAAGAGCUCAAAUUUGAAAUCUUCAAGGUUCUACCUUGACGAAUUGUAGUUUAUAGAAGUGUUUUCUGUUAGUGGAGUGGCAAAAGUUCUUUGGAAUAGGACAUCAUAGAGGGUGAGAAUCCCGUAUUUGGUCAUUCCUCCUAGCGUUGUGAUACACUUUCAACGAGUCGGAUUGUUUGGGAAUGCAGUCCAAAAUGGGUGGUAAAUUUCAUCUAAAGCUAAAUAUUGGCGAGAGACCGAUAGCGAACAAGUACCGUGAGGGAAAGAUGAAAAGAACUUUGAAAAGAGAGUUAAACAGUACGUGAAAUUGUCAAAAGGGAAGCGUUUGACACCAGUGUUGUUUUUCCGAAAAUCAAUUACGAAUGUUUUGUUUUUAAGAAGUUAUGACUUCAUCGGCUCGCUUCUCUCUUUACGAAACUUUCUUAAUGCACUUUUCGGUUAACAAGUCAACAUCAAUUUCUUUUGUUGUAAAAGGGUAUGAGGAAGGUGGCUUUCUUUUCGGAGAAAGUGUUUAUAGCCUUGUAGCCUCUGCAAUCGGAGAGAUUGAGGUCUGCAGCGUAGAUCCUUCGGGGUUAGAUACAUUUGUGCUAAGUUAUAGCUUUUCAUAGACAACUUGUUGACUAUGUUUAGUCUUGUAGCUUACUCGCUUAUGCUAUUUUACCUACGCUUAGGAUGUUGAUAGUCACAGCGUGUAC